UAUAUAUGGUGUGGAGGGUGACGGGGGUUGGGUGGGGGGUUAGUUUAUCUAUUGAAACUAUCUUAAAAGACUUUGUUACAUUACACCUUAUUAGUUGUGUGCAAACUUCCCUGCUCUGCCGUGUACGGGAAGAGCCGAUCGCAACCGGAAGGACCCGAGUUGUCCCGAAGGAACGUCAGAACCGUCCCGACGGCAGCUAAGUUACCUGUUGAGUGCUGCACACCUCCUUCUCUGUUACGAGAGCGUUGAGCAGAGCCAAAUAACUUGUGUCCGUUGUGCGUGAGUGCAGAGUAAGUUUAUAUUCACUGUUUAUUGUUAUGUUAGCCGCUAUGUUGUAAAGGUACUGACGCACACACGGUUUUUUGUACAUUAGAUAUAUUACCAGAGUCUGGUUAAUAUGUUUGAAUUCCCUUAUAUAUAUGUUCUAGACAUAUAAUACUAUUUCAUUGUGUGUUUAAUAUUGCGUACGGGCUCUGCACCCGACGACAUUUACGUUUAGUACAGUUGUUGUGUAUGACAUUGUAAUGAUGUAGUCUGAGGCGCCCACGUGCGGCUAUUACGGAGUGUCAUUCCGACCUCAUGUUAUUUUACUGCAUAGUACUCUGUAUCUGUUUAGUUCACAGUCUUAUUGCUUUAUUUUGUUAAAAUAAUAAUAUAUUUGCUGUUUAUUUAUUUUGUGUAAUUCAGGAAACCACAACAAGACACAUCCUGUACAUUGUUCAUGUGAGGAAUUAAUAAAGAAGGAAACCAUAA